ensembl:lncRNA
GGGGCCUCGGCGCGCUGCGGGGCGGGAGCGGGGGCGAGGCCGCCGCGUUAUCUGGGUCACCGGGGUUAGAAGGAGCGGCCGAUAGGACCGGGGGAGCUGCGCUCCGCUGCUGCGGAGAUAGAGCAGCGAUCCGGGCCGGGCGGGCACCGCGCGGUUGGGAGGGAGGAGGGAGGGAGGGAGAGAGGGAGGGAGGAGGAGGAGACGGCGGCUCGUUCCGGCUCCCGAGCCGAGCCCAGGUCGGACUGGUUGCUGAUGGACGGCUUUCCAGCCAGCCGCUCCGCCGCCGCUCGGGGAAGCGGCUCGAUCGACAAGCAGCUCGCUCGCUUUUAACUCCUUCUCUCACCGGCGAAGCCGAGCAUCUGUCACAACAGCUCUCCGGGCGGCACUUCGCUUCCACCCGCCCUAUUCUGUCUUCGGCCUCCCUCCGCCCCGAGAGCGCUCCGGGUGCGGGGCGGUGCGGGGGGGCGCGGCCCGAGGAGGGCUCCCCGCUGCCCUCGGCCCUCUGCGUUCGGGAGGGUCAACCCGAGCCCUCCCUUUGCACGCGGUCGCGCACGACCCGGGGGGGGCCGGUUGUGCUUUUCUCUAUCUUUCCCAGCGCAGGUUGCUCGGCCACGGGAUCGCGUUGUGCUCGGAGAGCGGAGGAAAGGGGGAGCCCUCCGAAGAUUUAACCCUUUGCCCGCAGAGCCUCGAGGUGGGCGAACACAAAGCACGUCGCGAAAGCCUCAGACCGAAAGGAUCCCGACCAUCACGGGAACGGCGCACGGCCAUAAGUCGGUAUCGCGCCGGCUGUGCCGUACGACCCCGGGACGGCGGCACACAGCAGAGGGGCCCGGCCCUGCCCUGCCCCGUCCUUCGCCGCCGUGUGCCGCCGGGCACAUCGCUCCCACACAUGGUCCGCAUUUCGCACGGCAGCAGCGUGCUUCCUCCGGGCCUCACGUUGCCGCUCUCCAAACAGAGAGAGAGAGAGAGGGGAAAAAAAAAAAGAAACAACACCAGAGGUUUAGAGGAAGUUAAAAAUCAGGCGAGCUAAGAAAUGCUCCCCGUUACACACAUCCUGCUUGAAAGCGAAAGCCCGGCGUUCCGGCCCUGCUCCCCGGCACUGGCGCCGGCGUUGGACGCGGCGAGGUGACCGCUCCGUGCUUGGGGCUCGCCGCUGCACCCCGUCCCCCUGCACCCUCGCCCCGGGGCCGGGCGCUGGGAGAGCAUCGCCCCGCGUCCCCCCUUCCCUUCCCUUCCCUUCCCUUCCCUUCCCUUCCC